AGAGUUUGAUCCUGGCUCAGAAUGAACGCUGGCGGCGUGCCUAACACAUGCAAGUCGUACGAGAAAUCCCGAGCUUGCUUGGGAGAGUAAAGUGGCGCACGGGUGAGUAACGCGUGGGUAACCCACCUUCAAAUCUGGGAUAACUCCGCGAAAGCGGUGCUAAUACCGGAUAAGACCACAGCCGUUUCGGCGGCAGAGGUAAAAGCUGACCUCUCCAUGGAAGUUAGCGUUCGAAGACGGGCCCGCGUCCUAUCAGCUUGUUGGUGGGGUAAAGGCCUACCAAGGCAGCGACGGGUAGCUGGUCUGAGAGGAUGAUCAGCCACACUGGAACUGGAACACGGUCCAGACUCCUACGGGAGGCAGCAGUGAGGAAUUUUGCGCAAUGGGGGAAACCCUGACGCAGCAACGCCGCGUGGGUGAAGAAGGCUUUCGGGUCGUAAAGCCCUGUCAGGUGGGAAGAAACUCUUCAGUACUAAUAAUGCUGAAGCCUGACGGUACCACCAGAGGAAGCACCGGCCAACUCCGUGCCAGCAGCCGCGGUAAUACGGAGGGUGCAAGCGUUGUUCGGAAUUAUUGGGCGUAAAGAGCGUGUAGGCGGCUUGGUAAGUCAGAUGUGAAAGCCCUGGGCUCAACCCAGGAAGUGCAUUUGAAACUACCAGACUUGAGUACGGGAGAGGAGGGGGGAAUUCCCGGUGUAGAGGUGAAAUUCGUAGAUAUCGGGAGGAAUACCGGUGGCGAAGGCGCCCCUCUGGACCGAUACUGACGCUGAGACGCGAAAGCGUGGGGAGCAAACAGGAUUAGAUACCCUGGUAGUCCACGCCGUAAACGAUGAGCACUAGGUGUAGCGGGUAUUGACCCCUGCUGUGCCGUAGCUAACGCAUUAAGUGCUCCGCCUGGGGACUACGGUCGCAGACUAAAACUCAAAGGAAUUGACGG
rnacentral:rRNA from 1 species